CCUCUCUUCUCUGGCUCUCUUUCGAUCCACCGCCGCCCCUUCCCCAUCUCUCUCUCUUCUUUGGCUCUAUCCCGAUCACAAUAGCCUUCCCUUUCCGGCUAUCCCCUCUCCUCUCCAGCUAUCUUUGCCACCGUAACCCUUCCUCUUCUUCGAUUUUCUGCUAGCCAUCUCUCCGCUUCUCUAUCGGUGCAUCGGCUUUCCCAAAGAUGAGGAUGCUCGAGCAAAUCCUCCUUUCUUCUUCGCCUCAAGCCAGG
rnacentral:lncRNA from 1 species